AGGGAAUCUUCCGCAAUGGACGAAAGUCUGACGGAGCAACGCCGCGUGAGUGAUGAAGGUUUUCGGAUCGUAAAGCUCUGUUGUUAGGGAAGAACAAGUGCGAGAGUGACUGCUCGCACCUUGACGGUACCUAACCAGAAAGCCACGGCUAACUACGUGCCAGCAGCCGCGGUAAUACGUAGGUGGCAAGCGUUGUCCGGAAUUAUUGGGCGUAAAGGGCUCGCAGGCGGUUUCUUAAGGCUGAGGUGAAAGCCCCCGGCUCAACCGGGGAGGGUCAUUGGAAACUGGGAAACUUGAGUGCAGAAGAGGAGAGUGGAAUUCCACGUGUAGCGGUGAAAUGCGUAGAGAUGUGGAGGAACACCAGUGGCGAAGGCGACUCUCUGGUCUGUAACUGACGCUGAGGAGCGAAAGCGUGGGGAGCGAAC
rnacentral:rRNA from 1 species